AUUGAACGCUGGCGGCAUGCUUUACACAUGCAAGUCGAACGGUAACAGGGUGCUUGCACCGCUGACGAGUGGCGAACGGGUGAGUAAUGCGUCGGAACGUGCCGAGUAGUGGGGGAUAACGCAGCGAAAGUUGUGCUAAUACCGCAUACGUACUGAGGUAGAAAGUGGGGGACCUUCGGGCCUCACGCUAUUCGAGCGGCCGACGUCUGAUUAGCUAGUAGGUGAGGUAAAGGCUCGCCUAGGCGGCGAUCAGUAGCGGGUCUGAGAGGAUGAUCCGCCACACUGGGACUGAGACACGGCCCAGACUCCUACGGGAGGCAGCAGUGGGGAAUUUUGGACAAUGGGCGAAAGCCUGAUCCAGCCAUGCCGCGUGUCUGAAGAAGGCCUUCGGGUUGUAAAGGACUUUUGUCAGGGAGGAAAUCCCUAGUGCUAAUAACACUGGGGGAUGACAGUACCUGAAGAAUAAGCACCGGCUAACUACGUGCCAGCCGCCGCAGUAA
rnacentral:rRNA from 1 species